UUGGAUUUUAUUCCGCAAACACUUGUCCUUUUCUUUAAGGACAGUUUCAAGUCUGCAGAGUUGAUCUAACUGCUCAUCGCCCUGUACUUUUUCUCUGUCCUACCCAGUAACGAUAAGCUGGGGGCAAGGAUGAAACACAGUAACACUCAAAUACCUUUGGAGAAAAUGUAAAUUGGUGGCAUCAUUCUGGACAACAAUCUACACUACCUAGUAAAGCUGAGGAUGUGGGAACCCAACACAUGGAAGUUCCAGCCCUACACAGAUAAAUCCUAGAGAAACACACAUUUACACAAGAGGACAAAAAACAAGCUUGUGCUUGCAGCAUUGUUUGUAAUCACAAAACAAAAUGUCCACCGACAGAAGAACAGGAUGAAAGGAGAAAUCAGCAGUCUGCAACCCAGAAGACAGCUCUCACCAGAACCCGGCCAUACUGACACUGUGAUCUCAGACUUCCCAGCUUCCAGAACUGUGAGAAAUAAAUUCAUGCUGGUGAUAA